AUAUCAAUAAGCGGAGGAAAAGAAACUAACAAGGAUUCCCCUAGUAACUGCGAGUGAAGCGGGAAAAGCUCAAAUUUGAAAUCUGGCGGUUCUUUUGACCCGUCCGAGUUGUAAUCUAGAGAAGUGCUACCUGUGCUGGACCGUGUACAAGUCUCCUGGAAUGGAGCAUCACAGAGGGUGAGAAUCCCGUCUUUGACAUGGACUGCCUGUACAUUAUGGUGCGCUCUCGAAGAGUCGAGUUGUUUGGGAAUGCAGCUCAAAAUGGGUGGUAAAUGCCAUCUAAAGCUAAAUAUUGGCGAGAGACCGAUAGCGAACAAGUACCGUGAGGGAAAGAUGAAAAGAACUUUGGAAAGAGAGUUAAACAGUAC
rnacentral:rRNA from 1 species